UAUGGUAAGCGUGGCAACCACCUGCCAGUCAGCACAGGAGGGAUGGAAGAAGAACAGUGAAAAACACAGUAUUUUGGAACCAAGGAAAAAAAAAACAAAACACGUAAUUGGAGCAGAGUGGGGCCUGUGCACUUCUGUGGCCUUAAAGCCAUGGACAAAGGUCAUAAAUCUGAUCUUUACCAUGAAUGACAGCAUGACCAGGAAAAACUGUAGCCCUGAAACUGACCUUAAAGCAAUCUUGGGAGCUGUGGUCCUUCUGCAGCCAGCUGACUGUGCUAUACCUUCAAGCCAUUCUUGCCAUUCAGCCUCUGGAAUCUGGAGAUCACCAGAGGAACGGAGGAGUGUCACUGAGCUGUAGAAGCUAAGCAAGAAAACUGAAAAUAUACUGCUCCUGUUUUGCCAUAAGACUGCUAGCUACUGGAUGACACAGAAACAGCUGCUAAAUGGAACGCUUUGCAAGGCUGACCCUUUUCAGUUAUCUUGCAGGCUUGAGAUACGAAAGUGACCACAUGUUGCAAUUUCAGACUGGAUUGGAUCCAGUGGGAAAAUGUUUAGACAGAAUACUGCACCAAACAACACUCCUGAGAGCUGUGCCCGUGGUGAGCCUGUAACAGAAAAAAAGCACGUUUUUAACAGGCUCACUCUAGAAGAUUUGUUCAUUACAUCUUUGGAAACU